rnacentral:tRNA from 1 species
GUAGCUCAGUGGUCAGAGCACGCCGUUUCGUCGAUUCUUGUCGCUGCUUUUUUUGUUUUGGGGUGAAUGCAGGCGGGUUUACAGGUAAGAGCGUCAUGGUCUUGGCCAUGAAGGUCCCGGGUCCGAGUCCCGGUCUGCCCA